rnacentral:rRNA from 1 species
ACACGUGGAUAACCUACCUAUAAGACUGGGAUAACUUCGGGAAACCGGAGCUAAUACCGGAUAAUAUUUUGAACCGCAUGGUUCAAAAGUAAAAGACGGUCUUGCUGUCACUUAUAGAUGGAUCCGCGCUGCAUUAGCUAGUUGGUAAGGUAACGGCUUACCAAGGCAACGAUGCAUAGCCGACCUGAGAGGGUGAUCGGCCACACUGGAACUGAGACACGGUCCAGACUCCUACGGGAGGCAGCAGUAGGGAAUCUUCCGCAAUGGGCGAAAGCCUGACGGAGC